AGAAUCAACGCUGGCGGCGUGCCUAACACAUGCAAGUCGAACGAGAAAGUGGAGCAAUCCAUGAGUAAAGUGGCGCACGGGUGAGUAACACGUGACUAACCUACCCUUGAGUGGGGGAUAACCUCGGGAAACCGGGCUAAUACCGCAUAACAUCGAGAGAUCAAAGGAGCAAUUCGCUUAAGGAGGGGGUCGCGGCUGAUUAGCUAGUUGGUGAGGUAAUGGCUCACCAAGGCUAUGAUCAGUA
rnacentral:rRNA from 1 species